CAUGUGGUUUAAUUCGAAGCAACGCGAAGAACCUUACCAGGUCUUGACAUCCCGAUGCUAUUUCUAGAGAUAGAAAGUUACUUCGGUACAUCGGUGACAGUGGUGCAUGGUUGUCGUCAGCUCGUGUCGUGAGAUGUUGGGUUAAGUCCCGCAACGAGCGCAACCCCUAUUGUUAGUUGCCAUCAUUCAGUUGGGCACUCUAGCGAGACUGCCGGUAAUAAACCGGAGGAAGGUGGGAUGACGUCAAAUCAUCAUGCCCCUUAUGACCUGGGCUACACACGUGCUACAAUGGUUGGUACAACGAGUUGCGAGUCGGUGACGGCGAGCUAAUCUCUUAAAGCCAAUCUCAGCUCGGAUUGUAGGCUGCAACUCGCCUACAUGAAGUCGGAAUCGCUAGUAAUCGCGGAUCAGCACGCCGCGGUGAAUACGUUCCCGGGCCUU
rnacentral:rRNA from 1 species